rnacentral:misc_RNA from 1 species
ACAACACAAGCUUCUCUUUUUCUUUCUCCUAAUCAUUCAUAUACAUAUGUUCCUGUCCUGUGCUGAUUCAACAUGGAUGAUGAACCUUUUCUCCCAAACACUUCAACAAUACCAGAAGAUCAUCAUCAUCAUCGUCAUCAUUCUACCCAACCAUCAUCAAACUUGAGAGAAUUACCUUCUGGGUGCCUUGAUCUAAUCUCUAGUGAUGCCAAUAUCCCCAUCAUCAAGACCACCCCAAAUUCUUCUUCUUAUGUAAAUGUUCUUGCCUGCAGCUUGAAAAAGAACACAAGAAAGCUUCCCCAUCGCUCACACUCUGCUCCAUCUUUAUUCACUCAAGCCAGGGAGUCUUCAAUACCCGAUUCUUUAGACCCUAGGACACCUCCCAACUCUACUCCGUUGAUCGUUCGGCAAGCGUUUAUUGGUGUGGUCUUUUAUCUAAUUAUUGUUGUUGUUAUAUUCCUGCUUAGUGGAAGGUUCAAGGGUACUACCACAUUAAAGCCAGUGGAUGCCUUGUACUUCACUGUGGUUACACUUUGCACCAUAGGAUUUGGUGAUAUAGUUCCUGACUCCACAUUUACCAAGCUCUUUACUUGUGUUUUCAUAUUGGUUGGUUUUGGGUUUAUAGACAUUCUGCUAAAUGGGUUGGUCGCCUACAUUUGUGACAGGCAAGAAGCAGUUCUGUUGAGUGCUGUGGAUGAGAAUAGGUUCAACACAUACAUGAUUGAUAAAGUUAAAGGGAGAAUGAGAAUUAGAAUCAAAGUGUGCUUGGCCUUGGUAGCUGUCAUUGGCUGCAUUGCUAUAGGAACAAUUGGAGUACAUUUUCUGGAGAAUUUGAGUUGGGUUGAUAGUUUUUAUCUCUCCGUUACUUCUGUCACAACUGUUGGUUAUGGAGAUUUCGCUUUCACCACAGCAACAGGAAGAUGUUUUGCCAUUGUUUGGCUUUUGAUUAGCACACUGGCGGUUGCCAGGGGAUUUUUAUACCUGGCUGAGUUCAGGAUUGACAGGAGGAAUCGUAGGAUUGCAAAAUGGAUUCUUCAGAAGAAGAUGACCCUUGGAGAUUUGGUAGCUGCAGAUCUUGAUAAUGAUGGAUCCAUCAGGUAUACCUAUUUUCCUUCUUUUAACUUAAUGUGCUUGAUUUGGUAGUCACAUAAGUUGCCAUUAUCUUCUUUUAGUCCAAUUAUACACUUGGGUUCAACAUCUGCUUCAAUUUCUUUCAAUUGAAGAAUUCACACAGCACACUUGAAAUAAGGAUUUUGACCAGGUUGAUUUUGCAUCAUAAGAUUUCUCUGGAGGUAACUUCCUAAUAACUAUUACUUCUUAGUCAUUUACUUUCUAAGAAAUAUGAAUAUUUUAACCAAAUGAGAUAUUAAUAUAAUAUAGAAGUUGGGUAAGUCAUUGUAGUAUUUCAGAAUUGAAUUCUUUGAUAUGUUAACUUGGUUAUUAUGUGCUUGCCCUGAGAAAGGUCAUGAUGUUGAUUUCAUUUAUGGUUGCAGCAAAUCUGAAUUUGUUAUAUACAAGCUCAAGGAGAUGGGGAAAGUAACAGAGAAAGAGAUUCUUCAGAUCUGCAACCAAUUUGACUCUUUAGAUAAUAUCAAUUGUGGCAAGAUUACUCUUGCUGAUAUCAUGGAAGGUGGCUGAGUAAAACAAAGGUGUAGAAUUGCUGCAGCUUCUGGUUUCUUUAGCCAACACAAUGCACAUUCAAAAGGGUGCUUUUGCAAAAUCACAAUUUCAAAUGCCAUGCCAAAUGGGCACAGAGCAGGCGAGCUAGACUUGGAAUUUCUCCUCAAAAGUGGCAUAGUCAAAUCCCAACUCCCAGAUGUGUAGAUCAAUUAAGUGUUGCUUGAGAUAAGCUUCUAGCCUCGAACAGACAACAGAUAAUGUGUUUCAUCUGUGAAUAAUUUUUGGACUAGUUCACAUAUUUUAGAUUCAUCCAGCCACCGACACCUACAGAAGUAGUUACUUCUUAAACUGCACCUUCUUGGCUUUUAAAAUACAACACUGUAAAACAGACAUGGUGCGAUCAUCAGGCAUUAUCCCCUUUGGUGACAUUUGAUCAAGAAGGUCUACAGCUCUAUCCACAUCUCCCCUGUUACAAAAGCCGGAUAGAAGAGCUGUGUAAGUUACUGUAUCAGGUUUUAGUCCUCUCUCAAUCAUUUCAUCAAAGAGGCAUACAGCAUCCAGAAGGUUAUCUGCCUUACAAUGUCCAUCAAUCAAAACAGUAUA